CCUACGGGAGGCAGCAGUGAGGAAUAUUGGUCAAUGGGCGCUAGCCUGAACCAGCCAAGUAGCGUGAAGGAUGACUGCCCUAUGGGUUGUAAACUUCUUUUAUAUGGGAAUAAAGUGCAGUAUGUAUACUGCUUUGCAUGUACCUUAUGAAUAAGGAUCGGCUAACUCCGUGCCAGCAGCCGCGGUAAUACGGAGGAUCCGAGCGUUAUCCGGAUUUAUUGGGUUUAAAGGGAGCGUAGGCGGGUUGUUAAGUCAGUUGUGAAAGUUUGCGGCUCAACCGUAAAAUUGCAGUUGAUACUGGCAUCCUUGAGUACAGUAGAGGUAGGCGGAAUUCGUGGUGUAGCGGUGAAAUGCUUAGAUAUCACGAAGAACUCCGAUUGCGAAGGCAGCCUGCUGGACUGUAACUGACGCUGAUGCUCGAAAGCGUGGGUAGCAAACAGGAUUAGAUACCCGUGUAGUC
rnacentral:rRNA from 1 species